rnacentral:lncRNA from 1 species
GCCAUUGCACUCCAGCCUGGGCAACAAGAGCAAAACUCCAUCUCAAAGACAAACAAACAAACAAACAAACAAAAUAUAUAUAUAUAUAUAUAUAUAUAUAUAUAUAUAUAUGCCGGGCGUGGUAGAUCUUGCCUGUAAUCCCAGCUACUCGGGAGGCUGAGCCUCAAGCCCAGGAGUCUGAGGCUGCAGUGAGCCAUGAUCACGCCACUGCACUCCAGCCUGAGUGACAGAGUGAGACCCUGCCUAAAAAUGAAAAAAAAAAAAAAAAGCCGGGAACGGUGGUUCACGCCUGUAAUCCCAGCACUUUGGGAGGCCGAGGCAGGCAGGUCACCUGAGGUGAGGAGUUCAAGACCAGCCUGGCCAACAUGGUGAAACCCCAUCUCUAGUAAAAAUACAAAAUCAGCCAGGCGUGGUAGUUUACACCUGUAGUCCUAGCUACUCGGGAGGCUGAGGCAGGAGAACCGCUUGAACCCAGGAGGUGGAGGUUGCAGUGAGCUGAGAUCGCAUCAUUGCACUCCAGCCUGGGCGACAAGAGCAAAGACUCCGUCUCAAACAAACAAACAAACAAAAAGAAACAAACUCUCUGUUGCUGAUGGUGGGUGAAAACAGAGUUUUAGGGAAUUGGGAUGUCCUGAGACAGAGAAAUAGUGUUGGUUAGGUCAACCCCAAAGAAGCCUGAACUGGAUUCACAGAGAGGAUGAUGGUGGAUUCAGAAGUCUGGGAUGAACAGGGGUGACAUAUGUUCGCUAAUGUGGUGUGGGUCCUGAUCAUGAUGACAGACCCAUCUGCUCUCAGACAUAAAUUUUGCUGACUUUCUUACCAGGAGGAUAGGGCUGUUGUAUAGACUGUGGUUGGCAUUAAGACACCCAGUUUGAGGAGGACAUUGAUGAUAGGCUCAUUUCCCUCUUCUGCCAGUAUGGAAAGUGGACACUAGGGCUAGAAGAUGGCAACAGGUGCUGUGUGAUUUUGAUUUUAAUGGGAGCAUCCUAAGCAGCUGCCCUCCCUUGUUAAAGUCAGCUGUCCACAAGUUGGCUGGGACUUCUGCAAGGGCUCAACUCAUAAAGACAGUUAUUGUGGGUCAGACCCAGGUGAUACAAAUGGCAUGGGGAGGUCUGGUUAUACUCCAACUGGCCUGCAGCGCAUUACUAUGUUUAGUUUGCAAGGAACAUGUCUACCUGAUAUGUCAGUAGACGUACAAGGUUAGGCAGGAAGGCACAUACCUCAAUGAAGCAUCCUAUGGUAACAGAAAGCCAUUUCAUACAAUAAGAGCUAACUAACAUGAUCUCAACUAAAACUGCAGCCCACAGCAGAUCUGGCAAGGCAACCUGAGUGCAGAGACAAGGCAGAAUUCGUGACCUCAGUGUUGAGGGGAAAUGUCCAUUUGUCCAUCAGUGGAGAUAGGGACACUAGGACUGGGGGACAAAAGGAGGGAGAGUGUGGCUAGGGGUGAUCCAAGCAGACUCAAUAUAACCCCCACGAUUCUUUUCUAGUCUAAGGAUGGCUGAGGUUAAAUCAAGCACACAUUUUUCCAACAGCCAGGUUUUUGUUUGUGUUGAAGCUACAGAGGCAAUUUCCAAGACAUGGUUCAACAUGGGACUGUACUUCCAAGGUAUGAAGGUUUGGUCUUUUGCUCUUGUAGGGACAUGAGUUCAGCCCCCUGCUUUCUCCACUAGCUUUUGAGUUUUACUGUGAAAUGGGCUAAUGAACCGAGGGAUGCAUCUGAAUCCUUUAGGAAUGCUGGGAAGCAAUCCCGACAAAACUUUGGAGAAAUGACCAACUUUUGAAGGAGCUUUCAAAAUCCUUCACCUCAGAAAACUCUCUGUUGCAAUGAU